rnacentral:rRNA from 1 species
AGUGAACGCUGGCGGUAGGCCUAACACAUGCCAGUCGAACGGCAGCACAGUAAGAGCUUGCUCUUACGGGUGGCGAGUGGCGGACGGGUGAGGAAUACAUCGGAAUCUACUUUUUCGUGGGGGAUAACGUAGGGAAACUUACGCUAAUACCGCAUACGACCUACGGGUGAAAGCAGGGGAUCUUCGGACCUUGCGCGAUUGAAUGAGCCGAUGUCGGAUUAGCUAGUUGGCGGGGUAAAGGCCCACCAAGGCGACGAUCCGUAGCUGGUCUGAGAGGAUGAUCAGCCACACUGGAACUGAGACACGGUCCAGUCUCCUACGGGAGGCAGCAGUGGGGAAUAUUGGACAAUGGGCGCAAGCCUGAUCCAGCCAUACCGCGUGGGUGAAGAAGGCCUUCGGGUUGUAAAGCCCUUUUGUUGGGAAAGAAAAGCAGCAGGUUAAUACCCCGCUGUUCUGACGGUACCCAAAGAAUAAGCACCGGCUAACUUCGUG